UACAGAGGGUGCAAGCGUUGUUCGGAGUUACUGGGCGUAAAGAGUGCGUAGGCGGUGCCCUAAGUCUGUUGUGAAAUCUCCCGGCUUAACUGGGAGGGUGCGCGGGAAACUGGAGGGCUCGAGUAUGGGAGAGGAAAGCGGAAUUCCUGGUGUAGCGGUGAAAUGCGUAGAUAUCAGGAGGAACACCUGCGGUGUAGACAGCUUUCUGGACCAUCACUGACGCUGAGCCACGAAAGCGUGGGUAGCAAACAGG
rnacentral:rRNA from 1 species